rnacentral:rRNA from 1 species
CGGCCGCGUCGACCGUGAGUAACCUGCCCUUGACUCUGGGAUAAGCGUUGGAAACGACGUCUAAUACCGGAUAUGAGAUGCGACCGCAUGGUCUGUGUCUGGAAAGUUUAUCGGUUUUGGAUGGACUCGCGGCCUAUCAGCUUGUUGGUGAGGUAAUGGCUCACCAAGGCGACGACGGGUAGCCGGCCUGAGAGGGUGACCGGCCACACUGGGACUGAGACACGGCCCAGACUCCUACGGGAGGCAGCAGUGGGGAAUAUUGCACAAUGGGCGAAAGCCUGAUGCAGCGACGCCGCGUGAGGGAUGACGGCCUUCGGGUUGUAAACCUCUUUCAGUAGGGAAGAAGCGAAAGUGACGGUACCUGCAGAAGAAGCACCGGCUAACUACGUGCCAGCAGCCGCGGUAAUACCGUAGGGUGCGAGUCGUUAC